CUCUUCUUGAACGAAUAAGAAGUAGGAUCUGCUCCAUGCAAAUCGUAAAUUGCCGCAGUAUUUUGACUGUGCUAAGGUAGCAAAAUAAUUUGGCUCUUCAUUGGAGUCUGGAAUGAAUGAUUUGACAAAGUCUAUUCUGUCUCAUCUAUAAAAAUAGAAAUUGGAUUGUUUGUAAAAAUACAAAUAUAAAAGAGAGGGACGAAAAGACCCUAUAGAUCUUUACUCCUCUUUGUCUAUUAUUCUUUAAAGAUUUAGACGGGAGGAGUUUACUUGGGAUAAGUCUAAAAAGCGAAUUUUGGUAAUAGGAAAAGAUAGAUUGAUCAAAAAGAUGAUAAAAUAAAAGAUAAGUUACCUUAGGGAUAACAGGAUAAUUUCUUUGCUUAGAACUUAUAAGCAAAGGAGUUUAUUACCUCGAUGUUGAAUUAAGUUACCUUUCACUAGGAGAAGAGUGAAAAGUCAGUCUGUUCGACUGUUGAAAACUU
rnacentral:rRNA from 2 species